rnacentral:rRNA from 1 species
AUGAAAAUGGCGAGAGCUUUGUUCGUCUCUGUCCUUGCCUUGUGGUUUCUGGCGCUUGGGCUGUCCGGACGCGCUGAUGCGGCGGCCGAGAGGAAGAUCGUCGGUGUCCACGAGCUGACGAAGGGGGAUUUCUCCAUCAAGGUUACCAACUGGGGUGCCACCCUCAUGUCCGUGAUUCUCCCCGACUCGAGAGGAAACUUGGGGGAUGUGAUCCUGGGCUACGAUACGGUCGCUGAAUAUGUGAAUGGCACCGCCUACUUUGGAGGGCUGAUCGGCCGCGUCGCCAACAGGAUCGCCAAUGCCCGGUUCACCCUGGACGGGAAACCCUACCGGCUGGUUCCCAACGAUGGCAAUAACACGCUACACGGUGGUCACCGGGGAUUCGAUAAGGUCGUAUGGACGGUGAAGGAGCACGUCGGCGACGAUGGCAGCUCCCCGUUCAUCACUCUGUACUAUCAUAGCUUCGACGGAGAGCAAGGGAGAAGAUACUAUCAUACAACAUGGAUAAUCAGAAAGUCAUAUUCACUUCUGUAG